ACGAACGCUGGCGGCAUGCCUAACACAUGCAAGUCGAACGAGACCUUCGGGUCUAGUGGCGCACGGGUGCGUAACGCGUGGGAACCUGCCCUUAGGUUCGGAAUAACUCCCCGAAAGGGGUGCUAAUACCGGAUAAUGUCUUCGGACCAAAGAUUUAUCGCCUUUGGAUGGGCCCGCGUUGGAUUAGCUAGUUGGUAGGGUAAAAGCCUACCAAGGCGACGAUCCAUAGCUGGUCUGAGAGGAUGAUCAGCCACACUGGGACUGAGACACGGCCCAGACUCCUACGGGAGGCAGCAGUGGGGAAUAUUGGACAAUGGGCGAAAGCCUGAUCCAGCAAUGCCGCGUGAGUGAUGAAGGCCUUAGGGUUGUAAAGCUCUUUCACCCGGGAUGAUAAUGACAGUACCGGGAGAAUAAGCUCCGGCUAACUCCGUG
rnacentral:rRNA from 1 species